UCCGACUUGGAAUCGGCAGUCUCCUGUGAGAAUUACAACACAGGACAAGGGUUGCGCUCGUUUACGGACUUAACCGAACACCUCAAGGCACGAGCUGACGACAACCAUGCAGCACCUGUCACCGAGUUCCUUACGGCACAAUCGCCUUUCGGCAAUCUUCUCGGGAUGUCAAGUCUUGGUGAGGUUUUACGGUUGUUGUCGAAUUAAACCAGAUGCUCCACCGCUUGUGCGGGUCCCCGUCUAUUCCUUUGAGUUUUAAUCUUGCGAUCGUACUACCCAGGCGGAUCACUUAUCGCGUUAGCUUAGACACUGAAAGGGUCGAGCCUUCCAACAUCGAGUGAUCAUAGUUUAGGGCGUGGACUAC
rnacentral:misc_RNA from 1 species